GGGCGUAAGCGCGCGCAGGCGGCCUUUUAAGUUGGAUGUGAAAGCCUAUGGCUCAACCAUAGAACUGCAUCCAAAACUAUCAGGCUAGAGUGUGGGAGAGGAAGAUGGAAUUAGUUGUGUAGGGGUAAAAUCCGUAGAGAUAACUGGGAAUACCAAAAGCGAAGGCAAUCUUCUGGAACAUUACUGACGCUGAGGCGCGAAAGCGUGGGGAGCAAACAGGUUUAGAUACCCUGGUAGUCCACGCCCUAAACGAUGAAUGGCAGUCGUCGGGUAGCUAGUCUAUUCGGUGAUGCAGCUAACGCAUUAAACAUUCCGCCUGGGGAGUACGGUCGCAAGAUUAAAACUCAAAGGAAUAGACGGGGACCCGCACAAGUGGUGGAGCAUGUGGUUUAAUUCGAAGAUACGCGAAGAACCUUACCUAGCCUUGACAUAUUUUAGAACACUUUAGAGAUAGAGUGGUGCCUUCGGGAGCUAAUAUACAGGUGCUGCACGGCUGUCGUCAGCUCGUGUCGUGAGAUGUUGGGUUAAGUCCCGCAACGAGCGCAACCCUCGUCACUAGUUACUAACGGUUCGGCCGAGGACUCUAGUGAGACUGCCUUCGCAAGGAGGAGGAAGGUGAGGACAACGUCAAGUCAUCAUGGCCCUUACGGCUAGGGCAACACACGUGCUACAAUGGCCUGGACAAUGAGAAGCGAUACCGCGAGGUGGAGCAAAUCUAUAAACCUGGUCUCAGUUCGGAUUGUAGUCUGCAACUCGACUACAUGAAGCUGGAAUCACUAGUAAUCGUAGAUCAGCUAUGCUACGGUGAA
rnacentral:rRNA from 1 species